rnacentral:lncRNA from 1 species
AUGCUCAUUACAUAUGUCACAAUCGUCAAGCAGGCAGAUCACACAGGAUUUGCGGCAACUUAUGAAGCUGUUUGUGGAGGUGACUUGUUCGUUGAUGAUACAGGACAUUUGGAGUCUCCACGAUACCCAGAGAUUACCAGCCAAGUAAAGAAUGCAUUUGGAGACUCACCGCACCUCCUGACUUUCAGGUUGCCCUCAAAUUUCAGUCUUUCGAUGUAAGUCUCGAAUCACUCCUCUCGAUAUCUAGAUUAGUCGGCCUCCUGUGUGUAAUGGUUAUAGCGCUGGCCCUAUAACCAAGAGGUCCCGGGUUCGAUUCCCGGCCAGAUGACCUAAGUAUGAUGGUCUUAAAAGAAAAAAAAAUAAAAAAAAAAAAAAAAAAAAAAAUAAGCCAGAAAGAUUGGUGACUGCCCGUAUUAAUUUUAGGAGCCAAGAAGGAGAGGGGGCGUGUUCAAAAGUGUCUAUUUUUUUCUCUCUCUCAUGAAAGUAUUUAUCCUCAUUCUCACGAAGAAUUAAUUUUCCCUCCUCUCCCAUCUCAUAAAUACUUAUUGGCCUCUCCCUCAGAAUAAGUGAAUGUUUUUACUGCUCAAAUUACAAACAAAUAUUUCAAAUUAUUUUAUUUUCAAUCAUUAUUUUUACUUUUUAAAAGAACAUUGCUGACUUCUGUCAAUGGUCAUGGUCCGUCGGUGUUAUUGGCCACUGUAGUACUUCUCUACCCUCAGCUUACAAAAAAAGAGAAAAAAAAACACAAAUAAUAUAACUCAUACAUCGAGAACCAAGAUGCGAACCCACAUCAUUUCAUUUGCGACUUUGCAAACUUCUGUCAUACUUUAUUGAUUCUUUGGAAAACUAAUCAACGUAAUUUCUUGAAAACUCUCUUGAUUUUUCCUCUUUACUAGCAGAAUAUUCUGUGUAAAUGUCAAGCCAUGAAAAUGGUUGGUUUCCUUCGUAAUAAUAAAAAUAGAAGGAACGACAUUUAGAAACCCGCAAUAGAGAUUCGUGGUUCCGCUAUUUGGCCAUGGCCAUAGUGUUUUUGAUCUCAAAAUCUGCAAGCUUUGAUACAAGUUUUACUGGCGCAGGUGGAAAUCACGACAACUGCGUUUACGACUACGUGGAGAUUCGGGACGGACACGAAAGAGAUCACCGUUGCUUGGCUGUUUUGCGGCUACAAACUUCCUCCCGAUAUCAUAUCGACCAGCAAUAAGCUCUCUGUCAAGUUCGUUUCGGAUGGAUCAAUUCAAAAGCCAGGCUUCUCCGUUACAUUUCUCAAAGGUAGCCUUUGGAAUUGGACGUACCUCUGUCAAACGGAACUAUGUGCAUUAUGACGUGAGCCCUGUCAUGCAUAUAUUCUUAUGAGUCUCAGGGCUCAUGUCUUAAUGACAUAGUUCCGUUUGACAGAGGUACGUUCCAAUUCCCCUUUAGCAUAUUAAUGGAGUCUUACAAAGAACCGCAGAGCAUGAAUAAUGCGAUCCACAUCGGACUGGGUAUUCUACCCCUUCGGAGCCACGAAAGUCCAGUUUCGCAGUGCAAGUGCAAUUUAUAGUAUUAGAGUGAUAUUAAAUUAAAAGGUCUAUUCACCAGAUUAUAUUCAAUAUUUUCCGAAUUUCUUCUUCAGGAACUUCAACUUUCUCUGCUUCUCUCCACCCUUCUCGCUCCCCUCCCCACACCCCUUCCUCUGUUCUGUAUCGAGAAUCCAUGCAAAAAUGCAAAAACGCAAUCUCAUUUACGGCGUUUACUGAUUUUUGUCAUAUUUCAGAUUUACUAUAAAACCACUCAACUUCAUUCCUGAAAACUUCGGUGAUUUUUUUUCUCUGAUGC